CAAUAGCGUAUAUUAAAGUUGUUGCAGUUAAAAAGCUCGUAGUUGGAUUUCUGGUGGGAGCGAUCGGUCUGGCGCUUAGCGCGAGUACUUGCAUCGUCUCCGGCCAUCCUUGGGGAAAGUCUGUCUGGCAUUAAGUUGUCGGGCAGAGGAUCCUCAUCGUUUACUGUGAAAAAAUUGGAGUGUUCAAAGCAGGCUUAUGCCGUUGAAUAUAUUAGCAUGGAAUAAUAAGAUAGGACUUUGGUACUAUUUUGUUGGUUUGCGCACCAAAGUAAUGAUUAAUAGGGACAGUUGGGGGUAUUCGUAUUCCGUUGUCAGAGGUGAAAUUCUUGGAUUUACGGAAGACGAACUACUGCGAAAGCAUUUACCAAGGAUGUUUUCAUUAA
rnacentral:rRNA from 1 species